CAGCAGGCAGCUAAGCAAAACGUGUAUUAUCUUGCUUCUUAUUUAGUUUCAGUCACAAUUUCCUUUAUGGAAAAUGAUGCAUUUCUGAUUUUCAUCUUUCCUAUUGCUGUAGCUGCUGCUGCUGCUUUUUAAUAUCAUAAUUUUUAUUGCACUGUCUGGUUAAAGCCAGCCUUUGUCACUAGCAAUUUUUUGCGCCUGUAAGUUAUAAAUAGUAUCCAUCAGUUAUUCAUUAUUUUAUUAUUAAUGAAAAAUUGCAACCUCUUUAUCAACUUGUAAGCUGCUCUGUCUAUCAUCCAUUCAUAUUCUUUUGAAAAAGACUGAAGACUAGAUGUGUUUCCAUCUUCUCCAGUGACUGGAGAGAAAGAUCAAACAUGUAGCUGCUGUGGAGUCAAUACUACUUGACGUUGAGAAAAUGACCAGCAAUUAACCAGGUGCGCUAGCAUUGAUUUUGGUGAGGCUGCACAGAUGAAACUUAGAGCUGAAGCAAGCCAGAGGGCUUGAAGCUAGCAGAGUUGAGGCUGUGUUUUAUGCACCCCUACCUGUGGAAACCUGGUUGUAGUGCUCCAAAGCGUGACAGUAGUGCUAAGGAGUGUUUGAAAAUCUGCAGCUAGGGUAAUGCCUGGUUUAUGAGAAAGCCUCGAAGUUGCCUUCUCCUUUCACAUAUAGUUUUCCAUGCUUAUGUUUUUUUAUGUUUCUCUCAGAGUGGAGGUGAAUAUAUCCAGUAAACCAAAAAAUGUGUUUAUGUGCAUGUGGGUGUAUAUAUAGUCUUUAAUCUGUCAUUGGUUUCCAGAGAAGAAAAGAAUUUUCCAUAGAAACCCUGAUAAUAACAAGAUUAAAGAUUGUGAUUUGUUCACAGAAACUUAUAGAAUUGUAGAGCUAUACAUCUAUGUUAAAGAUUAAAAAGAGCAUUUUGGAGCAUGUAACUGCAAUAGAAGUGAUCCUUUAGUUCAAACCAAUUCUGUAUUAAAGAGCCUUUUUGGUGGCUUUGAGGAAAUGCUUCUUUUGUGGUGUGUAACACCUUCAUUCCUACAGCUGUAAUACAUGAAAAAGAGAGGAAAGUCAUACCUAUUUUUCUAGUUUAGGCUCUGUGAUGACAGAUGUGUUUUGUACCUCGCACCUUACCUUGGGAAAGAGAGCCCAAGAAAUCACAGAAGUGAGCUAAAUAUCUGGUUUUGGUUUGACAAUGUCCGUUGGUGAGGACCAACAAAGCCAACAGGAUUUUCUUCUGGCUUUUUUCUUUCUGCCCAGC
rnacentral:lncRNA from 1 species